UAAAAUUGGAACGUGAAUGUACAAAAGAAAAAAAUCACUAAUUUCACACACACACGCACACGCACACACACAUAUGCAUGCGCAAAUGCUAGUGAAAUGAACCCUAACUAACCUCACUUUCCAGAGAAUACAGCCUGGAAAAUUUGGGCCAGAACGUGGCCAGUGGCCAGCUUUAAUUCUUAUGUGGGUUUACUUAGAACCAGUUAAUUCCAUCCUGCGGAAAAAACAUUCUGUAAUCACAGUCCUUGCCUGGAGGCUCAGCAGGACUUCUUGCAAACGGCUGCCAUUCUGCCAUCCCGAGGAUCCCAGAGCUGUGAAAAGUCAGUCCGAGGACCUGUUUGGAACUCUCAAAUUCAAGUUGGUGAGGGUGCAAAUUACCGCCGGACAGUUCUCUCCAUUUCUCGAAGCUCUCUAGGAAUGGAAAUUCUGUGUUCCUCAGUUUCGCCACGCUGACCAGUAAAGUGUUCUGCCCAAGUCAAAUACGAUCUUACCUGCUUUAACAUAAAACCCUCUUCCCCUUGUAUGGUUCUUUAUGGAAAAGAAGGUCAGGAAGAUUCUUAAAAACAUGUGUCUUCUCCCAGCUCAACAAACCCCAGUUCCUGUUUCUCUUCACCUUAGAAUUUAUUUUCUCUCUGUAUGAAAAUAUUCAUUUCUCUUCUCUGAACUUUCUCCACUCUGGUUUCGUUUCUUAAAAAAGAUAUGCAUUUCGGGAAACAGAAGAGCCACCAAAGACAGUAAUUAGUUCCUCUCUAUUUAAGUGAUUGCAAGUCUCUGGGUGGUACAAAUAGUUAAUGCACUUGGGUGCUAACCAAAAGGUUGGAGGUUCAAGUCCGCCCAGAGGCACCUCGGAAGAAAGGGUUGGCGAUCUACUUUUGAAAAAUCAGCCAUUGAAAAAUCCGAUGAAGCACAGUUCUGCUCUGACACACGUGGGGUCGCUAUAAAUAAGAAUUGACUCGAGGGCAACUGGUUAGUGGUUAUUAAGUAACGGGGCCUGUUGCGGAGGGUAGAAGGAAAGGGUAAAAGGAGGGCACUGGGCAUUUUUGGAGAUACAGGAGAUUUUCGAGAAUGAUUUCCUGGAGGUACAGAGCCCGAACAGUAUCUAACUGGCCCGGUGUGGAGAAAUAUUAUUUUUUGCCUCUCAGUAAUCAGUCAGCAGCUCUCCUAGUGUGAAGAAUGGCUAGCCAUUAACAUGUGAGCUUUGUUACCAUGUCAGUGUGAUUAUAUUUUAAUAAAAAGUGGAUUUAUAGCCAGAUAAAGAAGCCAUGAGAUGAAGCAGCCGAGAGCGGCUGUGAACUCUCAGCCAUCAAGCCCUGGCCCUCCUGCUCCACAGCAGCGCGGACUUCCUGCUGGGGCUGGGUGAUUCAACACAGCUGGCCUGCAAAGGAGUGCCAGGGUUCUGGUGAGCCGCGUGCUUCACUGGGCAUUUUAAUUGUAAAGACCAGUGAUUCAUCACAAUUCCAAUUCAAUAAAUCUGUAGUAAAAUCUAUACCGAACAGGGAAAGACUAAAAUCUUUGACUUAAAGGGAGUGAAACAAAUCUGAAAGCUGAUGGAAAAGAAAAAUCAUGGAGUGAAAUCCAUUCAAGUCUUGUACUAAUGUGGUCCUACAUAUUUGCUGCCCUCACUGAAGUUUUAAAGUUUAUUUCUUUCUUCUACCAGAACUAAACUAUACUUUGACUUCUAGAUUCUUCCAGGCCAGCAUAUUGAACAGAAGCACAGUGAGAAUAUUUCAAUGGCUUAUUAGACAACCAUUGCUAAAGAAAACACAUGAUUCUCUGCAGAGUUACAGUUUUUGCUCAAAGAUAUCAGUCAAGAUACACACAAAUGGUAAGUCCUUUUUGGAAAGCUUUUAUCUCUUGUAUAACUUUGAUAUGUUAAGUGAUGAGUUUGGAUUAAAUUGCCUCAUAAUGAUUUUUCAAGGGAGGUAAACCCUAGUGUCAAAAUUUCCUGGUCAUUACUUCAUCAAACAAGUUAAAAAAAAAAAAAAAUCCAUACACUUAAAA